rnacentral:lncRNA from 1 species
GUGACAAAUGUGCACCCAACACCCUACAGAAAAGAAGAACCAUAAAAUAAUUAAUUAUUCCAUUGUAACUCCUGCCUGGAAAACAUCUGAAAGAAGUCACUAGAUUCAGCCCACAUUCAAGAUGAGAAAUACCAGAAGGCAGAGAACACUGAGGCUGUUUUAGAGGCUGUCAACCCCAGGGAGACAGACAGCAAAUAAGUAAGCAAAUAAAUAAAAAUGGAAGGUGAUAAUAAGUGCAAUGAAAAGAAAUGAAGCAGAGUAAAGAAUCAAGAGUAGCAGUUGAGGGGAUGCUUGGAUGUUUUCACACCACUCUGACACAUGGAUGGAAGGUUAGAAGACAACAAAGGAAUGGGCUGGGAAGGACUCCAAAAGCAGAAUCAGAGAUUAUAUCAUUCCUUGGAAAUGGAGAAAAGGAUCAAAAAAGCUGAAUAAAAGGCAAACAUGGAGGAACAGAGUUUGGAGCAAUACCCUGACUUACAUUCAGUACUGUUAAUGGCUCCAGCAUCUUGAAACAAACCAAUUUUGGAUUUUCAGCCGCUGUCCAAGAUGACGUGAACUCCAGGCUAUUGACUUUCCUCUACCUUCAAUGGAAAUUGUCAUGGAGAAUUAAGUUUUUGACAAAUCUACAGCCUAUGUGCAGGGCUUCUUCCUGGGUGUAACAAUAAGGAAUUUGGAAACUGUCUCUAGUUUUGGCCUGGAGUCACACUGCAGCUUGAGACCCUGUCAUUUCCAUCAAGCUUGAAAAUAUACAUCUUAAUAAACUGCAAUACUUCUUAAACCUU